CCCAGGCUCAAUUCUCCUGCCUCAGCCUCCCAAGUAGCUGGGAUUACAGGUAUGUGCCACCACGCCUGGCUAAUUUUUGUAUUUUUAAUAGCGACAGGGUUUCACUAUAUUGACCGGGCUGGUCUCGAACUCCUGACCUCAGGUGAUCCACCCACCUCGCCCUCCCAAAGUGCUGGGAUUAGAGGCAUGAGCCACCGUGCCCGACCUAUUUAUUUACUUAUUUUGAUACAUGGUCUCACUUUGUUACCCAGGCUGAAGUGCAGUGGUGUGGACAUGGGUCACUGCAGCCUCGACCUCCUGCGCUCAAGCAAUCCUCCCACCUCAGCUUCCUGAGCAGCUGAGACUACGGGGCAUGCACCACUACACUUGGGUAAUUUUUUUUUUUUAACUGGGGUAAUUUUUUUUUAAUUUUUUUGUAGAGAUGGCAUCUCACCAUCUUGCCCAGGCCAGUUUCAAACUCCUGGGCUCAAGUGAUCCUCCCCCUCUGCCUCCCAAAGUGCUAGGAUUACACGUGUGAGACAUCACUCCGGCCUUUCCUACCUUUUAAAUGUUGAACUUUGACCUAUUUUUAAAAAUAAAUGCAUAACCUAUUAAAAAAAUACAUAAAAUUAUUUUGUAAAAACCAUUAAUACUGACUUUGAGCCCCCCACACACCCAUGGAGAAACUUACACACACACACCCCAUGAGUGUGCUGGUAUUACUGAGAAGUUCCAGUCUCCUGCCUCUCUGGGCCUCCUAUAAAGCCACUCUGUCACAGGGGUGGCUGUGGAUGCCCAUAGCCCUAAGGAGGCCACUUUCCUCUCGGAAGAGCCUUUCCCCCAUGGUGGUGGCUGCUAACACUGCCCUCUGGCCUCAGGGAGGGGCCCCUCCUCGGUACUUGGGCAGGUGUGCAAAUGCAUGAAGACUUGCAUGUGAAGCUCUCCC
rnacentral:lncRNA from 10 species